ensembl:lncRNA
UUUUUUUUUUUUUUUCACCCUAAAAGUGAAAAACUUCUGUCUGGUUUUAACUCUGGGGUAACUCAUUAAUGAAAGUCAUAAGUAACUUUUUGUUGAGCUUAGCUGUAUGUCACAUUUGUCAAGUAACGAACCAUAAACUAGAAUUUACAAACAAGAUCCUAUAAUAUCUUAAACAAUAUGGAAUUAGAUGGUUAAUCAAGAAAUGUAUCUUCCAUCAUGCAUUACUACACUGCUCAUAGCUAAGGGCCUAGUCCUAGAAACGUAUUUUUAUUUGGAUGAAAUACCAAAUAAGAUUACUACAAUAAUCUGAGUGACUCAUCACUAUAGUAGGUACUGUUCACAUGAAAGCUUCUGGGAUUUGGGUAAUAGGAGUAUGCAACGCUAUAAGUAUAUUGUGCAUACUCAGCUAGCUUGCAGUUAUUAUGCAAAAAAAAAAAGACAAAAAGUAUUAUUUUGACUUUACUGAAAACGUUAUAUAAAGCAAAGUGCCUGAUUAUUAAUGCUUUUUAAGCCCAUUAUUUGCAUUUGGCAGGGUAAUAUUUGCUUCUGUAUUUUAUCUAUGAUCUUAAUAUUUUCAGCCAGAAUAUUUCAGAAACAUGCUGUAUUGAGAAGCUUGCUUUCAUGGGAAACAAGCAGAAAAAGAAGUGUGUUAUGUUACAUAAUUUAAAAUUGAAAAAAAAAAUCCCUAUCUCAGUAGAAACUAUAUGAAAAGAAUUACUUUUAUAUGUAAAUUAUUUCAUUUUCUGCAUGAGGAACCGUUGAAUUCUGAAUCUUUGUCUUUUUCUACUAGGUUUCAACAAUUUGACUUGACUUUUCUCUUCUGCAGUUAUCGAGAACAGUUCCAGUGUAUCUGCAGGAGAAAAGAGAUUGAUCACAUUCCUUUUAGAUAUAAGCUAGGCUGUUGUUCCCUGCUGCAGACAAAGCAAUGGUCCAGAGUUCCAUCUCAUCUCUCCCAUGUAUAAUUGUUAGACAUGACUUUGUGAGAAAAGCAAACAAUUUUUCCUUCUCUGCUGUUUUCUAAAAUAACAAAAUAGGCCAGGGUUUAGUCCUUUCAUUGAACUAAUCGCUGAGUUGUGUUGUCCCAUUUGUGGGGUUUUAUACAUUUUCGUAUCACUGAAGACACCCAGAAGCAUUCACUCCCCAGAAAGAAGUAUUCUUGGGAAGACUUGAAACAAAAGGAAUAGCAUCCAGCUCAGCCAGACACUGUCUACUAGAAAUACUAGAGAACAGAUAGUUGUUCAAAGCAAGUCCAGUGUCUCAAACAGAUUGAGUCCUGUUUAUAGAGGGGCUACAUAAAAUACUGGUCAAUUACAUGGACUGAUCAAACUCAUUUUUAUCCUGGAAAAGACCAAAGGCAGUUAAGACACAUAUGCUUAUCCACAACAAAUAUAUAAACAGAGAUGUUUAAAUCAAGAGCUUGAUGCAGUUUCUUCACUUAACCUAGCCAGGUUGAAGGCAUCUGCUUCCAUCAGAAAUGCAUAUAUCAUGAAGGAUAUUCCCCUCUCGUACUUCAUGCUAUGUUAAUUUAUUAGUUAUCUCAGUUAAAAUGUCUAUUCAGGCACUCUCUGUCCCGUAAUUAAUUCUAGGUUCUUACACAUCUUUUGCCCAUUCCCAUACACCACACCAUUUAAUGCCCACCAAGUAAAGACAUUGAGGCGUUGUAAAGGAGAAAUUCCACGAGGAAUCAGCUCAUAGGUUUUGUUCACCAAGCAGCUCUUACAGGUAUCAGCAAAGUUUUCACAGUUCUGCAUUUUGAAUCUUUUAUAGCUAGUUUGAACAAGUUAAUGCUUCCACAAGGGGUUCAGCUAAAGACACUUGUUUGAGGAAUGCUUGCAGUUUACUGGAGAAUGUUCCAGGAUGUACUCCCAAGACACAAGGGGAUUGAUUCACCCUAAACAAAAUGUGAAAAGCUUCCAACUGCUCAUUUACCACUAGUUUUAUCAUAUAUGGGUAGUCAGGCCUUCAGACCUCAGCUGAAACAUCCUUCUGGAAGAAUGUCCUCCAAAAGACGAUCUUACAAUGGUAAUAUAUUUAUUACCAUAAAUGUAUUUAUGGUAAUAUAUAAGCAGAUCUACCUGUUUGGUGGUGGGUUUUUUUUUUUUAAAUUACUGUCCACCAUGUCUGUAGAACAGAUUAAAACAUCAGAUUCUAGAAUAAGAAAAUGAUUAAUUAAUGAAUUCCUGACAGAUUCUUCCAUCCAAGGUAUAUGCCAUAAAUCGUCUGAAUCCAGGUAACUGCCACUACAGUUGAAUAAGGACAUUGUUUCAUUCUCCAGUACACAGUUUAGAUCUGUACAGUUCUGGAGCAUGGCAGUGAAACGGAGGAGCUCUGUGGACGGUGGAAAUGUCUAGGCUACCUUUUGUAAUUGCAGAAAGAGACCCAGUUCUGUAGGCACAGGAUAGAGGAAACAUUCUAGAAUGAAAGAUGUCUAGAAGUGGAAGUUGUUGUCGUUACAUUAAUUUCAACCAAAGAGAGGCAUUGGUUUGACUUCACUUGUUUAUCUGAACCAUUAGGUGUACUUUUCUUUGAAGUAACUUUUAUGUGUAUUUUUAGCAAAUGCUUCUAACAAGGUUAAUAAUGUGAUAGUUGACAGGAUGAGGUGAACAGAAGUAGUUACUGUGCAUUUUCCUCAUGACAGUGAGUGGAAAGCAAAGUACGAGUUGAGAGUAAGUUGCUAUACAAUAUACAACAUUACUGCAACAGUAAAAUGUUUGUGCUGCUAGUUAAAAUACUGAGGUUUGUAUUAAUAAUUAAGUUGUAGUAAAGAUGUUUAUUGUCAAAGUGCAAGGCACAUAUUUUAUGAUGGUAUUCUACUCCUAAAAUUCUGGUUUGUAUUAUAUUGAGUAUAGUAGACAUUGUUGCUGUUCUCUCAUGAAUUUUAAUGUGGUAAAAUGAAACACUCCCUUUUUACUGAAAAAUAAUCACAUACUAAUUGAUUUAAAAUUACUCUUUGUUGUCAGAUAUUUAGUUUGUUCAUUAAAAAAAGUUGGGUUUUUUUUAAUAAACUAUUUUUCUGGAUAAUCUGAUUGCCUAAUAGUUUCAAGGGACCUAUUUAAUACCAAAGGUAAAGCCACCCAGAAGCUGACUUGGUAUAAGGCAUCGGCACUUUUCUGGAACACAGUGGUCAAGAGUUGCACCUGGAAUCGGUCAAGCAGAGCUUAACUGGUGGUAGCUGCCUGUGUCACCAAGCUGAAGGGUUAGGCACACCUAGCAGUUUCCAAGACAAAAUAGAAAAGGAAAAAAAACAGCAGGAGUAGCCUGAAGGUUGAGUUAACAUACCUAGAGUAGCUCUUUGAGUCGCAGCUCAUGUUCCCAAUGAGAAGCACAAAGGCUUGCAUUACUGAUGUGUCUGCUAUACCUGGCCUGUGAACUAACAAAAAACUUCAGUGCGCUGUCAAUCCUGUAAACCUUCCAAAGCACAAAAUACUCACCAAGCUACUUUGGGGUUUUCUAGUUGUAGUUCAGUGAUAUAUUUUGGAGGGUCGAAAGGACAGACUUGGAGGAUAAUGAGAAGAUGUUAAGUAUGUUAUACAGAUUUUUAUAGAUAUUUUUUUAGCAAAUGGCAUUGCUGUCCUUGACAUGAGACUAUUGAUUAGCAAGAAGUCGAUUAUUUUACUUGUGCAGUAUGAGAUAGAAAGAAUAAAGAAAUACAAACGUCUUGAUUUCCUUUUCCAGGAUAGUGAUUAACUAGACUGGAAAGUAAUAGGACAGUUUAAUUGUUUAGCUGACUAAAAUGUUUCAUUCUAAAAACUUACUGAUCUUAUUUUUUUUUCUCAAAUACAAGCUUCUUAGAAUAAACAUGAAGCAAUGCAUCAUUUUCUCCCUUAUUGCAGACUUAACUAUUGAAAGGAAAAUAUUUUGCAUUUUUUAAAAUUAAUGCAAAGCCUGAAUUGUUGGAUGUUCCAGGCUACUGAAUAGAUGAUACAGAGUUACUCUCAAUGGAUUUUUUUAGGGAUGGGGGCCUAAGUGUCCUUAUAUAAGCUGUGAUCCAAGUUAUGAUAAGAAAGGAGCCUACGGUGAGCAGUAAUAAUGUUCUAAUGCUUCCUUGCAUUCGAUCAGUAGUUACCAGUUUUUACUGAAGCAGCCCUCACAGUACUUAGGAGCUCAUAGAACAUAUUGUGAUGUUAUGUUGCUAAUUUGUUUUAAAAUAUAAAAUGUUUUAAGCUUUUUGUCAAAAGUGAUAACAUCAUAUUACAAAUAAACCUUUUUGUGGUUGUAAAAUUUAGCAUAUAAAUCAUUCAAAUUGAAGUGAAAAAAACACAGGUCAUUGUUAAUGACAGUCUAUCCUACUAUUAAGAAUAUAUGUAUUUUUGUAAAGGAAAAGCACUUGUAGAUAUUUAAUCAGUCCAAUAUCUAUCUAUGUUAAUGUUUUGAAAAAAAAGAAAAAAGAAAAAAGAA